rnacentral:rRNA from 1 species
UACAGAGGGUGCGAGCGUUGUCCGGAAUCACUGGGCGUAAAGGGCGCGUAGGCGGCUUGAUAAGCGUGCGGUGAAAGCCCGGGGCUCAACCCCGGGUCGGCCGUGCGAACUGUCGAGCUGGAGCACUGUAGAGGCAGGUGGAAUUCCGGGUGUAGCGGUGGAAUGCGUAGAGAUCCGGAAGAACACCGGUGGCGAAGGCGGCCUGCUGGGCAGUGGCUGACGCUGAGGCGCGAUAGCGUGGGGAGCAAACAGG